AAUGAAUGCACCACUGGAACCGACAACUGUAAUGCGAACGCACAAUGUACGAAUACCCCAGGAGGCUUCACAUGUGCGUGUAACGCCGGAUUCAGCGGCGACGGAGUAACAUGCGUCGACAUCAACGAAUGUACUAACUCGCCAUCACCGUGUGACACCAAUGCCUCGUGCCAGAAUAGCUUUGGAAGUUUCUCCUGUACCUGCGAUACAGGCUAUACUGGAAAUGGGACACCCGGCAACUGCGAUAAUGUUAAUGAAUGCGUCACACUUGCUCCAGCCUGUCCUGCGGGAUACGACUGUCAGGACACAACGCCAGGAUUUUGUUGUAAUCCUUCUGCUUAAAUCAAGUUCAUUAAACCAGAACUAUGCCCCGGACCGACACCGCUUCAACACUACCGACAUAUCCACUGAUAAAAUAUAUCAUCUUCUCUCCUUUUCUCUAUUUAUAACAUUUUUCUUUAUGACUGCAUUAAAUGCAUCUUUUCAACAAUUUUGUUUAGAAUGUUUUAGUAGUAAAGGGGUCGGUUUAACGUCCCCCCUUUACUACUUGUUAUAAAGUUAAAUGUUAAAUUGAUGUCGACAUUGCUUUCUAUCUUUAUCUUUCCCCAGCAUCCAAAAAUAAAGUUUAAAUCAAACUUA